rnacentral:lncRNA from 1 species
AAAAGGGCUGGGAAUGUAGCUCUGUGGUAGAACGUACCCCAGGGUUCAAUUCCUAUACCAGGAAAAAAAAAUAAGGUAACAUUUCAUGUACAGUGUCUGGCACACAGUAAAAUUAAAUACUCAAGGAUAUGGCUAAGAAUAAUACAGCAGAAAAAUCUCAGGGUCAUGGUUAUCUUCAGCCUGAGUUAUCAGCAGUAUUGAUAGGAGUUAGGUACAAAAAAUGGAGGAGAAGGAAGAUUCAACUAGAUUUUAGAAAGUAUGUAAGAAACUAGUAAUAGUGAUAAUCAUAUUUUUGAAGACACAUAUUCUGGGCUCUGUGUUAGGAGCUUUACAAGUACAUCUUAUUUUAGAGAGUCCAGAUAGUAAUACCACAUCAAAAGAAAUAAUCAAAGGUAGGAAAAUAUUCUCAUUAAUUUAGGAGGAGGAUAAAGGUGAUUUAGGUGCAAGAGAGCUACUUAUAAAGAUGCUUUAAGUGUUGGUGAAAAAUA